rfam:Myotis brandtii contig220290, whole genome shotgun sequence.
GGCAGGGUAGCUCAGUUGGUUAGAGCAUUGUCUGAUACACCAAGGUUUCAGGUUUGAUUCCUGGUCAGGGCA